UUUUUUGAGAUUGAGAAAAUUUGGGCAAAAAAGGGGGUUUCGAGUUCAAAUCGUUCCGGCGAAGAUGGACGCGCAGGGUCAGGGGGAAGGUUUUGCAAUUGGAUGCUUACUUUCGAUCAAAACCACCCUCGGGGAGGAAUUCCAAGCCCAAGUCAUCGCCUUCGACCGCCCGUCCAACCUUCUCAUCCUUCAAGAUGGAGUGAUAUCAGGGGCAGGGUCGAAGAGGAAUAUAAGACUACUCAAGGCUAACUGCAUCAAAGAGUUCAACUAUUUGGGUCAAGGUGAAGAUCCCCUUGACAUCAAAAAGUGUUUCCUGGAUCUCAACACUCUUCAAUCCAGAGAAGAUUCUGCUAUUAGACAGGCGGAGGCUGAGGCUGAGAGGAUUGGUGUGGGUGUUACUCCGGAGGCGCAGAGCAUUUUUGAUGCUUUGGCUAAAACUUCUGUCUAUAAUGCCGAGGCACUGUAUGAUGUAUUGAUGCUAUUGGUAACAUACCCAGGCAUCCAGUUCGCUGGGACAAAUCUACCAUUGUCGUGAUGAAUGAGGUUCAUGUUAGCAGCCCGUACCUCCCUGAGUCAGUUGUGGGUGGAACUUCUGCUGCGAAUGAACGUGUGCGUAAAGUGCUCGAAUUGGAGAGGAAGAGGCUGCAAUCCCGGAAUGUUGGUCAGUAAUGCCUCGCACUUUUCUUCUUACAGGAAAAUCUACUCUUCUUAGAACCCUGAUAGUGGUGAGAAGAGUUCUAAACUGGCUUUAAAAUUUGGAGAAAACCAGCCUCAGUGGAACAGCAUAUGUUCCAUGCAAUUAAAUUGUUGGCAAGUUUUCACUUGUAUUUUGGGUAUUUAGUAUUGACUUUGAGUUUGAACUAGUUAGGCGUGUCAAGUAAUAAAUUAUUGCUCAUGCUGCCGUC